UACAGAGGUCCCAAGCGUUGUUCGGAUUCACUGGGCGUAAAGGGUGCGUAGGUGGCGAGGUAAGUUUGAUGUGAAAUCUCCGGGCUUAACCCGGAAACUGCGUUGAAUACUAUCUUGCUCGAGGUUUGGAGGGGGGACUGGAAUUCUCGGUGUAGCAGUGAAAUGCGUAGAUAUCGAGAGGAACACCAGUGGCGAAGGCGAGUCCCUGGACAACACCUGACACUGAGGCACGAAAGCUAGGGGAG
rnacentral:rRNA from 1 species